rnacentral:rRNA from 1 species
CGAACGAACGCUGGCGGCGAUGCCUAAUACAUGCAAGUCGAACGAACACUUCGGUGUUAGUGGCGCACGGGUGCGUAACGCGUGGGAAUCUGCCCUUGGGUUCGGAAUAACAGUUAGAAAUGACUGCUAAUACCGGAUGAUGACGUAAGUCCAAAGAUUUAUCGCCCAGGGAUGAGCCCGCGUAAGAUUAGCUAGUUGGUGAGGUAAAGGCUCACCAAGGCUACGAUCUUUAGCUGGUCUGAGAGGAUGAUCAGCCACACUGGGACUGAGACACGGCCCAGACUCCUACGGGAGGCAGCAGUAGGGAAUAUUGGACAAUGGGGGCAACCCUGAUCCAGCAAUGCCGCGUGAGUGAUGAAGGCCUUAGGGUUGUAAAGCUCUUUUACCCGGGAUGAUAAUGACAGUACCGGGAGAAUAAGCUCCGGCUAACUCCGUG